UACGAAGGGGACUAGCGUUGUUCGGAAUUACUGGGCGUAAAGCGCGCGUAGGCGGAUCGCUAAGUCAGGGGUGAAAUCCCAGGGCUCAACCCUGGAACUGCCUUUGAUACUGACGAUCUGGAGAUCGGGAGAGGUUGGUGGAAUUCCGAGUGUAGAGGUGAAAUUCGUAGAUAUUCGGAGGAACACCAGAAGCGAAGGCGGCCAACUGGCCCGAUACUGACGCUGAGGCGCGAAGGCUAGGGGAGCAAACAGG
rnacentral:rRNA from 1 species